ACAUUAUUAAAUUGAAUAUAUAAGAGUAAGAGGAAACCUACGGUCAGAGGGUCAAGCCUAUCUUCAGUGAUUGCAGACCCGGUGAAGGUACACGUAUGUGAAAAACGUAUUGAUUCCAAGCUAGCUCUUCAAGGCAUCGAGAGACCAAACCUCCUCUCCAGAGCUAGUGUCGCUGCUUCCAUUUUGGUGAGCUUAGACACCUCGGUAUCAAAGACCACAAACUUUGCACUGUCUCUGCCAUCACAAACUUUGACUCGUCUAAUGAAGGGGUAGGAGCUGAUCAUUGCGUAUCCGUUCCGCAAGCUUUACUUGAUACAAUAGGGCAGACACGCAAACUCAUCAUCAAAGUCUCUAAUCAUAAUUUGAAAGGUAAGACUCAGACACUAACUGUCACAAAGAUACUCCCACUAGAAGUUUCACUUCCAGCAACGUCUGAUGGUAUUCCGAAGACUGGAGGUGACGAAUCUGGUCCUUCUAGAGGCUCUGGAGGGUCUGCAGGUGAUGGGGUUAGAAAAGCCGCUGAGAGUCUUGAGUCGGAUGAAAUCAAGCGUUCCAAGAGUGGCUAAUAUAGCUUCUUCUUAUCCUCUUAUGCAGUGAUUGUUUUUGCUGCAUUAUAAGUACUGUUUUAAGUUUCCCUAAUGACUUUGCUUCUUUCCUUUCUCUCUUCAGACUUUUGUCUUUUAUUUUUGUACUUUGAAUACAAUUUUAAUUAUAUGGUUUUUGCUUA